rnacentral:rRNA from 1 species
GAUGAACGCUGGCGGCGUGCUUAACACAUGCAAGUCGAGCGAGAAGUUUUGAAAAGAUUCUUCGGAUGAAAUUUAAAAUGGAAAGCGGCUGACGGGUGAGUAACGCGUAGGCAACCUGCCCCAUACAAAGGGAUAGCAUUUGGAAACGAAUAUUAAUACCUUAUGAAACUUAACUAGUGCAUGCUAGGUAGGUCAAAGAUUUAUCGGUAUGGGAUGGGCCUGCGUCUGAUUAGCUAGUUGGUGAGGUAACGGCUCACCAAGGCGACGAUCAGUAGCCGACCUGAGAGGGUGAACGGCCACAUUGGAACUGAGACACGGUCCAAACUCCUACGGGAGGCAGCAGUGGGGAAUAUUGCACAAUGGGGGAAACCCUGAUGCAGCAACGCCGCGUGAACGAUGAAGGCCUUUGGGUCGUAAAGUUCUGUUCUAGGUGAUGAAAACUGACAGUAACCUAGGAGAAAGCCCCGGCUAACUCCGUG